GGCGGCGUGGAUGAGGCAUGCAAGUCGAACGAUCCUGCGGGUGUAGCAAUAUAUCUGCAGGGGAGUGGCGUAAGGGUGAGUAAUACGUGGGCAAUCUGCCCUCAAGUUGGGCAUAACCUGGGGAAACCCGGGCUAAUUCCGAAUGAGGUCGCCGCGCGCAUGCGCGGCUUUCUAAAGGCGGGGACCGCAAGGCCUGUCGCUUGAGGAUGAGCCCACGUCCUAUCAGCUUGUUGGUAGGGUAACGGCCUACCAAGGCUUACGGGUAGCUGGUCUGAGAGGAUGGUCAGCCACACUGGGACUGAGACACUGCCCAGACUCCUACGGGAGGCUGCAGUCGAGAAUCUUUCGCAAUGGGGGCAACCCUGACGAAGCGACGCCGCGUGGAGGAUGAAGGUCUUCGGAUUGUAAACUCCUUUCGUGCGGGAGCAUGGGGACGGGCGUGAACAGCGCCCGGCCAGGGAUAGUACCGCAGGAAGAAGCCACGGCUAACUCUGUGCCAGCAGCCGCGGUAAUACAGAGGUGGCAAGCGUUGUUCGGAUUUACUGGGCGUAAAGGGUGCGUAGGCGGCUCCGCGUGUCGGACGUGAAAUCCCACGGAUCAUCUGUGGAACGGCGUUCGAAACUGCGGGGCUCGAGUGCAGGAGAGGAAAGCGGAAUUCUCGGUGUAGCGGUGAAAUGCGUUGAUAUCGAGAGGAACGCCGGUGGCGAAGGCAGCUUUCUGGAAUGCAACUGACGCUGAGGCACGAAAGCCGGGGGAGCAAACAGGAUUAGAUACCCUGGUAGUCCCGGCUGUAAACGGUGCGCACUCGGCGUGGGAGGAAUUAUCCCCUUCCGUGCCGGAGCUAACGCGAUAAGUGCGCCGCCUGGGGAGUACGGCCGCAAGGCUAAAACUCGAAGGAAUUGACGGGGGCCCGCACAAGCGGUGGAGCAUGUGGCUUAAUUCGAUCCACGCGAAGAACCUUACCUGGGCUUGACAUGCGGCUGGAUGCCCGUCGAAAGGCGGGAGGCCUUCGAGGCUGCCGCACAGGUGCUGCAUGGCUGUCGUCAGCUCGUGCCGUGAGGUGUUGGGUUAAGUCCCGCAACGAGCGCAACCCCUGUGUCUUGUUGCCCCGCGCAAGCGGGGAUCUCUAGACAGACUGCCUGUGAUAAGCAGGAGGAAGGUGGGGAUGACGUCAAGUCAGUAUGGUCCUUAUGUCCAGGGCUGCACACGUGCUACAAUGACGGGUACAGAGGGACGCGAAGCCGCGAGGCGAAGCAAAUCCCACAAAACCCGUCCCAGUUCAGAUUGGAGUCUGCAACUCGACUCCAUGAAGCCGGAAUCGCUAGUAAUGGCGCAUCAGCUACGGCGCCGUGAAUACGUUCCCGGGCCUUGUACACACCGCCCGUCACAUCCUGGAAGCUGAAUGCACCUAAAGUGGCCUAUGCAACCUUUACCGGAGCCGGGCCCCCAAGGUGUGGUUAGUAACUGGGAUGAAGUCGUAACAAGGUA
rnacentral:rRNA from 1 species